rnacentral:tRNA from 1 species
GACUCAGUGGUCCAAUGGUAAAGCGUUCGCUGCGAAACCAGAGGGUCCUGGGUUCGAUUCCUGAUGGGGUCA